rnacentral:tRNA from 1 species
AAUAGCUCAGUCGGUUAGAGCAUCUGACUGUUAAUCAGAGGGUCGCUGGUUCGAGCCCAGCUU